CCUUUUUUGCUUUUCAGGGCCACACUCAAAGCAUGUGGAAGCUCCCAGGUUAGGGGUCAAAUCUGAGCUACAGCUGCCAGCCUAUGCCACAGCCAUAGCAACACCAGAUCCAAGCCGUGUCAGUGAACUACACCACAGCUCACGGCAACGCCAGAUCCUUAACUCAUUGAGUGAGGCCAGGGAUCCAACCUGCAACCUCAUGGCUACUGUUUGGAUUGUUUCCACUGUGCCACAAUGGAAACUCCCAAUACCAGAUCUUUAACCCACUGAGCGAGGCCAGGGAUUGAACCCACAUCCUCAUGGAUACAUGUUUGGUUCUUAACCUGCUGAGCCACAAGGAGAAUUCCCAGCCCCGCUUUCUCCUCUCCGUUCCUUCUAACAUUAACUAUAACUCUACAAUUAUUUUUUUCUUUUUAGGGCCACACCUGCAGCAUAUGGAGGUUCCCAGGUUAGGGAUCGAAUCAGAGCUGCAGCUGCCAGCCUACACCACAGCCACAGAAACACCGGGUCUGAGCCACAUCUACAACCUACGCCACAGCUUGUGGCAAUGCCAGAUCCUUAACCCAUUGAGCAAGGCCAAGGAUCAAACCCACAUCCUCAUAGAUACUAUGUUGGGUUCUUAACUCGCUGAGCCACAACAGGAACUCCUACAAUUUUUUUAUAUCUUACCAUCUUAAAAUAUUUAAAGCCAUGAUUUGUAAUUCCAAAAGGCCUGUCUGUUCAUCCAACGAGAAAGGAAGUGGAAUUGAUUGAAAGGACAUUUCCAUCAAAGGCGAGUUGCCAGUGUUAAAUUACAGUUAUUCAUUUGUUCUGAUAUUUACAGCUUCAAUAGGUUGCAGUCAAUACCCCAUCUUCUGAAUUUCCUUUAUGAAGGAAAAGCAAUAGUAAGACUUUUGCAAAACACUGGAAUGUAUAUGCCCUUAAAAGUAUGAUAAUCACAGGACUAUGAUAAUUUAGGAAAGAUUGCUGACUUUCCCAGCAGUUGACUUUCACAGAGCUUGAAACAAGUAGUCUCCCUAAAUCCCUGUUGCCACCAUCAUCACACACAGAAUAUAAACAAUAGAGAACGCUACCCUGGACAGAAUCUCAACCCAGUGUAAACUUCACUGGCAUAACUGUAAAAUCUGAAACUUGGGGGUUUUAACACAUUAGAACUAGUUCAUUCAUUAUGUCCCUGAAGACAGGGCUCCUGGAUUGUAUCUUAUUCCAGAGGGUCUGACUCACAGCCCAGGUUUUAGACUAUUCUUAAGCUUUAUAUGACCCCAGGAUCUACCCCUCUGCAGACUGCUCUCCAGAAACUCCUUGAUUUACCUCCUGGGACUGGCCAAGAAGUUGAGAGAACGUCUGAGAAAAACCUUAGAGAAAAACCCCAUCCCCAAAAGUUGUGUGGGCCUAACAAAUAAUAACCAAUAAUGUAACACGGACAAGCCUACAUACUGUGACAUGUCUAUGUAAUUCCGGGAAACAUAAUCAAAAACUCGUUAGCCAGGCAAUGACUAGUCACUUGAGCUUUUUGGACAGACUCCCACCAGUUUGAAUUAGAAUCCCAAAGCUCUGCAAACACUGUCUGUGAUUACAAAUUCGAGAAUGAUGAGACAACACUGCUGAGGUGGCCACCAUCAGCCACUGUGUCAUCAUGGUACAUACAAAGGGCAGUGUGUAGGUGUUUGCCCAUAUCUUUGCAGAAGGCACCUAAUGCCUGGGAAAACAAGAGCACCCUUAUUAUAAAGGAAAAAUAUAUAGCAGAGAUAGGGGUUUAGGGGCAGACCAACAGAAUUUCAAAGCCCAGAUAUGUCACAUUCUAUGUAAUCUUGGAAUCAAGAUUCACCUCUCUGAGCUUCAGCUUCUUUAUCUGUAAAGAGGGAAGUACCAUCUGUCAUUGUUGAGAUGAUCAGAGAUGAUGCAGAUAAGAUGCCUGACAUCAACUUUGCAUAAAUGGAAGCUACUUUAGGUAAUUUUACCCCAGGUUAUGCUAAGAUUAUAUGUCUAAGUUCCAGCAGUUUCUUUUUCUUUUUACUGGCCACAUAAGAUGAAUAAGUUAACAAUAACCAUGCAGUUAGCUAUGGGGUAAACAAAGAUAUGAUGUUACCAGAAUAGCCACCAGCUUUAGGGAGGGGAGAACGGACAUUCUUGAGCAGUACCCUGUGCCAAGGUAGGGGACAGAGAAAGCAUGCUCUGCUCAGCCACUGGAAGUGCACGGAGGGUGAAACUGGAAAAGAAGCGGGUCCUCCCUGGUCAGGUGUGAGGUUAGAGAAGGAAACCCUGCUCACUGUGUAUAAAUCUGGACUCUUAUCCUGCAGGCAAUGUGGAGCAAUGAGGGCUUUAAGUCA
rnacentral:lncRNA from 1 species